rnacentral:rRNA from 1 species
CGCCUUUUGAUAUAUAUUUAUAAAAGGUCCUGCCUGCCCAGUGACUCUGUUCAACGGCCGCGGUAUCAUGACCGUGCAAAGGUAGCGUAAUCACUUGUCUUUUAAAUAAAGACUAGUAUGAACGGCAACACGAGAGUCCAACUGUCUCACUAAACUAGUCAGUGAAAUUAAUCUUUCCGUGCAGAAGCGGAACUAACUAUAUAAGACGAGAAGACCCUGUGGAGCUUUAAAUCUAAACUAAUAUGUAUUAUACUAUAGCACACGAUUUUUGGUUGGGGCGACCAUGAGGCAAAACAAACCCUCAAGAUAUUAAUUAGAGAGACAUCUCCACUAAAUAGUAAAACUAACACAUUGACCCAAUAAUUGAUCAACGAACCAAGUUACCCCAGGGAUAACAGCGCAAUCCACUCACAGAGCCCAUAUCGACGAGCGGGUUUACGACCUCGAUGUUGGAUCAGGACCACCUAGUGGUGCAGCAACUACUAAGGGUUCGUUUGUUCAACGAUUAAAGUCCUACGUGAUCUG